GAUUGAGAUUGAGCAAGAUAAAGAUGACGAGAGGACAAGUUGAACCAACAUGUCCUGACCACUGAAGCCAUGAUUUGUCAAAUUUCUUUUUCUCUUUUUUUUUUCUUUUUCUUU
rnacentral:ribozyme from 13 species